AAAAACUGCCCCUGCCCAGCUCAUUGCUGCCGCCGGCGCGCUUACCUCCGCCAGCUCCGGCUGCCCCUCCCUCCACAAUUCUUUCCGGCCAUGUGCCGCCCCUUCCGGCGUCAGCGUCGGCGUCGUCCUCUUCCAGGGCCCUCUGCUCUGCUCCCAUGGCUGCCUCUGCUCCAUUGAAGUUUGCUCUCGCCAUUGAGAUGGCGCCGGGUCAGCCACCGUCAGUCCGCUCUCCCGUUGCGGCAACAAAGGGCAACCGCGAACUGUGUCAAGGUUGUAUUCCAGCAAGAUGCCAAGCCACGAUGACGCCUUGUCUUUGGUGUGCCGUGGCGUGAGGAGCCUCAUCCUCCUGCAAGCAAGCUACAACAGGGAGCACCAUCCUUCAACCUUCCAAGGGAGCAAAGGACCCAAAAGAAUGCCUAUCAAGAUUCAAAUUUCAGCGGUAACCUGAUAUACGCCAUACAUACAUCCUUUUGAAUUGUUUAUUACUUUGUAUUUACCUUGUACAAUCUUCUGCCCCCUAAAGCCUUGGCAGCAGUCGCGACUACAACUCUGGUUAGAGUAAAAAAAAAGCUGGUGAAGAACUAUCUGCAAAGCAGGCACCCCAUCACCACCGAGUUCGCCAUACUUCGGUAGCUCAUGUUUGGACUCUAGAUCAGGUUAUUUCACGCUUAUAACCUCUUAUUAAAAUCACUAGAAAUCCCAUGUAAAUAUGUAAUAUCUAACUCAGCUGGACCCA